CGCCAGACUCCUACGGGAGGCAGCAGUGAGGAAUAUUGGUCAAUGGGCUUACGCCUGAACCAGCCAAGCCGCGUGAGGGAGGAAGGCGCAGAGCGUCGCAGACCUCUUUUGCCGGGGGACAAAAGGCCGGACUCGUCCGGUCCUGAGGGUACCCGGAGAAAAAGCAUCGGCUAACUCCGUGCCAGCAGCCGCGGUAAUACGUAGGUGGCAAGCGUUAUCCGGAUUUACUGGGUGUAAAGGGCGUGUAGGCGGGAAAGCAAGUCAGAUGUGAAAACCACGGGCUCAACCUGUGGCCUGCAUUUGAAACUGUUUUUCUUGAGUACUGGAGAGGCAGACGGAAUUCCUCGUGUAGCGGUGAAAUGCGUAGAUAUGAGGAGGAACACCAGUGGCGAAGGCGGUCUGCUGGACAGCAACUGACGCUGAGGCGCGAAAGCGUGGGGAGCAAACAGGAUUAGAUACCCCAGUA
rnacentral:rRNA from 1 species